rnacentral:rRNA from 1 species
UACAGAGGGUGCGAGCGUUGUUCGGAAUUAUUGGGCGUAAAGGGCGCGUAGGCGGCGCGGUAAGUCACCUGUGAAAUCUCCUGGCUCAACUGGGAGCUUGCAGGCGAAACUGCCGUGCUGGAGUGUGGGAGAGGUGCGUGGAAUUCCUGGUGUAGCGGUGAAAUGCGUAGAUAUCGAGAGGAACACCUGCGGCGAAGGCGGGUUGCUGGGCUGACACUGACGCUGAGGCGCGAAAGCCAGGGGAGCGAACGGG